rnacentral:rRNA from 1 species
GACGAACGCUGGCGGCGUGCCUAAUACAUGCAAGUCGAGCGAAUUUUUGGGAGCUUGCUCCCAAAGGUUAGCGGCGGACGGGUGAGUAACACGUGGGCAACCUGCCUAUAAGACUGGGAUAACUUCGGGAAACCGGAGCUAAUACCGGAUAAUUCAUAUCUACUCAUGUAGGUAUGCUGAAAGACGGUUUACGCUGUCACUUAUAGAUGGGCCCGCGGCGCAUUAGCUAGUUGGUGAGGUAACGGCUCACCAAGGCAACGAUGCGUAGCCGACCUGAGAGGGUGAUCGGCCACACUGGGACUGAGACACGGCCCAGACUCCUACGGGAGGCAGCAGUAGGGAAUCUUCCGCAAUGGACGAAAGUCUGACGGAGCAACGCCGCGUGAGUGAUGAAGGUUUUCGGAUCGUAAAACUCUGUUGUUAGGGAAGAACAAGUACUAGAGUAACUGCUAGUACCUUGACGGUACCUAACCAGAAAGCCACGGCUAACUACGUGCCAGCAGCCGCCGUAA